AUUAUCCAAUAUCAAAUCCGACAACCGAAAGGAAAGAAAGUUACCCUGAACCAAUAAAAGGAAUGAAGCCUCUGUUUUCCCCCGGCUAUACCCAACAACCACAUUUACCAACUUCAAACCCUCAGCCUCAAAGGAAAGAAAGUUACCCUGAAACAGCGCAUGGCGCAAAGCCUCUGUUUUCCCCUGUUUAUACACCACAAUCGCAUUCACCAACUUCUAAUCCGACAUCUCAAAGGAAAGAAAGUUACCCUGAAUCAACGCAUGGCAAAAAGCCUCUGUUUUCCCACGUUUAUACACCACAAUCACAGUCACCAACUUCUAAUCCGACAUCUCAAAGGAAAGAAAGUUAUCCUGAAACAGCGCAUGGCGCAAAGCCUCUGUUUUCCCCUGUUUAUACACCACAAUCACAUUCACCAACUUCUAAUCCGACAUCUCAAAGGAAAGAAAGUUACUCUGAAACAGCACAUGGCGCAAAGCCUCUGUUUUCCCCUGUUUAUACACAACAAUCACACUUGCCAACUUCAAGUCCAAUGCAUCAAAGAAAAGAAAGUUACCCUGAGACAGCACACGAUGCAAACCCUCAUUUUUCCACUGGUUCUGCACAACAACCAC
rnacentral:lncRNA from 1 species